AAUUCUCAACUCCCCUCGGAUUCCAUCUGUAGGGUGAGCUUGGACUUGGAGGUUUCUGCUGGCGCUCGCCGGCUCCUCUUGAAAUCAUUAGCUUUGAGCUGAUCUCGAUGGCUUGACCGGUGUGAUAAACAUCUACGCCGAUUUGUGCCGUCCUGAGCGACGAACGCCGGAGACGCUCUGGCUUAUAACUGUCUUCACCAGAGGACGAUGUCCUGAAC
rnacentral:misc_RNA from 1 species